CAGGGAUAAGCUCAACAUGGAAAUUUUGGCUCCUGGCCACGAAUUGUAAUCUCUCGACGCGCUGCCAGCAGGGGCGUAGAUGUAAGCCGCUUGGAAAAGCGAAUCACUGAGGGUGAGAAUCCUGUUCGUCAUCUGCAGACCUCUGUGUACGGCACACGUUCUAAGAGUCACGUUCCUUGGGAUUGGAGCGCAAAUUGGGUGGUAAAUUUCAUCUAAAGCUAAAUAUGGGUUCGAGACCGAUAGCAAACAAGUACCAUGAGGGAAAGAUGAAAAGGACUUUGAAAAGAGAGUUAAAAGUGCCUGAACUUGCUGAAAGGAAAGCGGAUGGAACCAGUUUUGCUUGGUGAGAUUGUCGCACGCAGCAAUGAUCACCUUCUAUUCCAGCGAAAGCGGGGCGGUGGGCUGUGAUUUGUUCGGUGUGAUGUUUCUUGCCUUGUGUGUCAUCAUCAGUUUGGAGGUGGGGACAACUCUUGGGACCUGGUAGCUCGCCCCUGGGUGAGUGAAUGUGCCUUGCGGGACCCACCAACAAACAGUUCAACCUUUGUGGGGCUGCGUUGCUUCGUGUUGCGUGCUCUGGCGAGCUUCACACGCGUGGCACCUUCCUUACAAGCUAAUGGUGACGAAAUGGUUCUAUUCGACCCGUCUUGAAC
rnacentral:rRNA from 1 species